rnacentral:rRNA from 1 species
GAAGGAUCAUUACCUAGAGUUGUAGGCUUUGCCUGCUAUCUCUUACCCAUGUCUUUUAAGUACCUUACGUUUCCUCGGCGGGUCCGCCCGCCGAUUGGACAAUUUAAACCAUUUGCAGUUGCAAUCAGCGUCUGAAAAAACUUAAUAGUUACAACUUUCAACAACGGAUCUCUUGGUUCUGGCAUCGAUGAAGAACGCAGCGAAAUGCGAUAAGUAGUGUGAAUUGCAGAAUUCAGUGAAUCAUCGAAUCUUUGAACGCACAUUGCGCCCCUUGGUAUUCCAUGGGGCAUGCCUGUUCGAGCGUCAUUUGUACCUUCAAGCUCUGCUUGGUGUUGGGUGUUUGUCUCGCCUCUGCGUGUAGACUCGCCUCAAAACAAUUGGCAGCCAGCGUAUUGAUUUCGGAGCGCAGUACAUCUCGCGCUUUGCACUCAUAACGACGACGUCCAAAAGUACAUUUUUACACUCUUGACCUCGGAUCAGGUAGGGAUACCCGCUGAACUUAA